rnacentral:rRNA from 1 species
GAUGAACGCUGGCGGCGUGCUUAACACAUGCAAGUCGAACGGUGAAAGCGGCGCUUGCUCUGCUGGAUCAGUGGCGAACGGGUGAGUAACACGUGAGCAAUCUGCCCCUGACUCUGGGAUAAGCGCUGGAAACGGCGUCUAAUACCGGAUACGAGCUGCGAAGGCAUCUUCAGCAGCUGGAAAGAACUUCGGUCAGGGAUGAGCUCGCGGCCUAUCAGCUAGUUGGUGAGGUAACGGCUCACCAAGGCGUCGACGGGUAGCCGGCCUGGGAGGGUGACCGGCCACACUGGGACUGAGACACGGCCCAGAGUCCUACGGGAGGCAGCAGUGGGGAAUAUUGAACAAUGGGCGAAAGCCUGAUGCAGAAACGCAGCGUGAGGGACGACGGCCUUCGGGUUGUAAACCUCUUUUAGCAGGGAAGAAGCGAAAGUGACGGUACCUGCAGAAAAAGCGCCGGCUAACUACGCGCCAGCAGCCGCCGUAA